CAUCCAUACAAGCCAUUGGUACAAUCCAUCAGCACAAUCCAUCGGUACAACCCAUCAGUACAACCCAUCGGCGAUCCAUACAAGCCAUUGGUACAAUCCAUCAGCACAAUCCAUCGGUACAACCCAUCGGCGCAAUCCAUCAGUACGAUCCAUCAGGACAACCUAUCGGUACAAUCCAUCCAUACAAGCCAUUGGUACAAUCCAUCAGCACAAUCCAUCGGUACAAUCCAUUGACACAAUCCAUCGGUACAAUCCAUCAACACAAUCCAUCAGCACAAUCCAUCGCUGCAAUCCAUUUGCACUAUCGGUACAAUCCAUUGGUACAACCCAUCGGUACAAUCCAUCGGCACAAUCCACCAGCAAAAUUCAUUGGAGCAACCCAUAAGCAUGAUCCAUCAGCUCAAUCAUCCAUCGGUACACUCAUCCAUUGACACAAUCCGUCGGCACGAUCAUCCAUUGGCAAGAUCAUCCAUUGGCAGUCAUCCAUCAGCACAGUCAUCCAUUGACACAAUCCAUCAGCAUGAUCAUCCAUCGGCACAGUCCACCAGCAAAAUCAUCCAUCAGCAAAAUCCAUUGCCACAAUUAUCCACUGCCACAAUCCACUGGCACAGCCCAGCCUCAGUGUGCCAUAUAGACAGGCUUACCAAUGAAAAUUUAGGACCCUUAAAUUUAGAGCUGCAUUGUGAGUGCAGAACUCCUCCAAGUUUGGCCCUAUAAUCCUUUGGGCUUUCAUUCUGUCUGAUGGGGUUAAUGAUGGGCUUUUAAACCCAGUUUUUCACUUAGUCUUUGUGGCAGGGACUGCCUUCAACAGAGUUCCACUGUCAGCAAAAACGUUGAGAUGCUUCUUGAUUAGAUAUGAUAAGUAACACACAUACAAUGCAACUGAAAUCUUCAAAAUUUCUCUCCCCUUCAGCCAAGUGGGAGCAUUAUGUUUCUUCACCUUUUCAUAUAAUGUGCUGGGUUAGAAGGGACCUGUCAAGAUCAAUAUACGGUAAAAGGUAAUAAAUAAAAGGUAAAAAAUCUGCAUAGUAACUCAAAAAUGUGUCACAUAAAGAGCUGCAUGAACUUACUCUUGUAAAUGCCAUUCCAAAAAUUAGACUGUACCCUUUCUUCAAAUAUAUACUUUAUUUUCAAAAUUCAUUUGUUAUUAAAAUUAUAGCAAAUAAAAAAAUGCCAUGACAUAUUAUUAAAAAAGUUGCUUGUUUUCAUAAGAAGCUGGAAAUUAAUUUUAGAGGACAUUAUUGUUGCUUUUGGUCUAAUGCAAACAGGGUUAUUGUACCUUUAUGUGACUGUUAUAUGGAGCAGAAUUUAACUUUACAAGAAACAAACAUCUUGUGUUCUAAUUGAAUUGAACAACUAUAUACAAGAAAUAUUCAUUUCUUUAUUAUUGCUUUUUCCAGCCAUUGUUGUCAUAGGCAGAUGUAACUUUUAUUUCCUUUUCCCUCUGACAAUUUUAGCUCCCUGUCUCUGGGGAAAUAAAUCAGCAGAACAUUGUCUUUGCUUUUUAGAACCUCAAGACGAGAGAAGAGAAGAGAAGAGAAGAGAAGAGAAGAGAAGAGAAGAGAAGAGAAGAGAAGAGAAGAGAAGAGAAGAGAAG
rnacentral:lncRNA from 1 species